GUCGGAGGUGAAGCUGCACUGACUGCAGUCCUGUUAUGAAACAACACUCUGUUUUUAUUGGCCUGUUCGGUGGGGAGACACCGGCCCGCCCCAUUCAAGCGAGGGCCGAGCCUGGCCCUUCAUUCUGGGAGCAAAGGGUCACAGGGGAGCUGGUGCCUAUCUCCAGCGGUCUGCGGGCAAGAGGCAGGAUACCCCGGACAGGUUGCCACUCCAUCGCAAGGCAACUCAGAGACACACGCACAGGACAAACAACCAUUCACACACCCAUUCCCUCCCAAGAGCAAUUGAGAAAGACCAAUUAACCUAACAGUCAUGUUUUUGGACUGUGGGAGGAAGAGUACCCAGAGAGAACCCACACAUGCACAGGGAGAACAUGCAAACUCCAUGCAGAAAGACCUCCGAACCCAGGACCUUCUUGCUGCAAGGCAACAGUGCUACCAACUGUACCACCAUGCAGCCCUGGUUUUUACAAUUUAAGGUUACCUGAACCUGACUUUGCCCUCAGCAUCGAACCCUGCCUGGAUUACCGUCUUCUGGAAAGAAGCAUCCAGCUCCAUGAACCAAGACUCAAGCCUCCUGUUACCUCAUUGGAUCAAACCAGCUGGCAGUCUCCUGAUUCCUUCGUUCCGUGGAUCUCCUUCUGUGAACCCUGUCCACCCUCCUUCUUCCAUUGCACCAACUACAGAAACUCUUGGACCAUCUAUCAUCCUGGCACACCAGUGUUCAGUCUCCAGUCCCACGGGUAAACAACCUCCUGGUCUCUCCACCCCCUCUGGCAGAUCUCUCCUUCAAAUCGUUGGUAUCCCGGUUCCAGUUUCCUGCACAUUUCAACUUCCUGUAAAUAAACUCCUUACCG